AAAAGUUCAUCUGAGUUGAGCCUUCCUGGUUCUGGAUUAUUGAGUAUUUGGCAAAAUUCAAGCAAGUUAAGCCAUCCCUCUUGCAUGGUAUCAUUAAAGCGGCUCCAGAGUUACCUGCUCACUUGGGAAAAAAUAUGGAGGAAGUUGUUUCUUUGAGAUGCUUGGAGGAGUUAUGUGGCCCUAGAAAUGGAAGCAUGAACAGUGCUUGGUCCUCAUUGGGAUCAAAGGCGAAAAUUGAUACAUCAAAGAGCUGCAAAAAUGUCCGACAGUAAAUGUUCCAUAAUGGCUCUGCAUCUGAUCUUGAAGUAACUGCAAAUGAGUUUUUGAAAUGGGACCUUCACUCAUUUUUAACGCACAAGAGAACCUCUGCCAAAAACUGCUCUAGAGGAG